CAGAGUUCGUGCCCUCACGGGUAGAUCUCCACCCUAUGUUAUCGUUACCUUUGUUGCUUUGGCGGGCCGUCAGGCCUCGGUCAGGCUACCGGCUUCGGCUGGUAAGCGCCCGCCAGAGGAAAUCAAACCCUAAUUUAAUGUCGUCUGAGUACUAUAUAAUAGUUA
rnacentral:misc_RNA from 1 species